rnacentral:tRNA from 1 species
GCGAGAGUGGUGGAACUGGUAGACACGCGGGACUUAGGAUCCCGUGCCCCGUGGCGUGGGGGUUCGAUUCCCCCCUCUCGCA